rnacentral:rRNA from 1 species
CCGGGCUUCGGCCCGGGGACAGCGGCGAAAGGGCGAGUAAUGCGCUCUUUAUGUACCCCGAGGUGGGGGAUAGGUCGGGGAAACUCGGCGUAAUACCCCAUGUGAUCUCCGGAUCAAAGGCUUCGGCCGCCUUGGGAGCAGAGAGCGUCCUAUCAGGUUGUUGGUGAGGUAAAGGCUCACCAAGCCAAAGACGGGUAGCGGGUGUGAGAGCAUGACCCGCCGCAUCGGGACUGGGACACUGCCCGG